CAAUAGCGUAUAUUAAAGCUGUUGCGGUUAAAAAGCUCGUAGUUGGAUUUCUGUCAAGGACGACUGGUCCGCCCCUCGGGUGAGCACAUAGUUUGGUCUUGGCAUCUUGUUGGAAACUGUUGCUGCACUUGGUUGUGUGGCGCAGUGUCCAGCACUUUCACUUUGAGGAAAUUGGAGUGUUUCAAGCAGGCACAUGCCUUUGGACACAGUAGCAUGGAAUAAUUAGAUUGGGCUUUUGCUCCAACUUGUCGGUUUCUGGAGCUGAGGUGAGAAUUAAUGGGGAUUGUUGGGGGCAUCCGAAUUUAGCCGUCAGAGGUGAAAUUCUUGGAUCUGCUAAAGACGGACAACUGCGAAAGCGUUUGCCCAGGAUGUUUUCAUUGA
rnacentral:rRNA from 1 species